rnacentral:rRNA from 1 species
GACAGGGGUCUCGAGCGUUAAUCGGAAUCACUGGGCUUAAAGGGUGCGUAGGCCGCCUCGUAAGUGCUUUGUGAAAGCCCCCGGCUCAACCGGGGAACUGCAGGGCAUACUGCGAGGCUUGAGGAAACUAGAGGCCGGUAGAACGAUAGGUGGAGCGGUGGAAUGCGUAGAUAUCAUUGGAACGCCAAUGGUGAAAACAGGUAGCUGGGGCUGUGCUGACACUGAGACACGAAAGCCAGGGGAGCAAACGGG